CCAGCUUGGUGCAGGGAGGGCGGCAAGGAGGGUGCCAGCAAGGCAGCCGUGGCUGGUGUGGGACGGUGUGGACGGCGGGUCGUGGAUGGGACGGUGUGGACGCUGUGCUCGUGGACACUGUGGCCAUGGGUGGGACGGUGUGGCCGUGGGUGGGAGAGUGUGGAUGAUGUGGCCACGGACAGGGUGGCUGUGGGUGGGACAGUGGGGGGGGGCCAUGGACGUACCCACACAGCCUUGAGUGGGCGCCGGGAGCGCCUCUGGCAGUGGGUUCACGGGGGUCACGGGCGUGAAGGCAGGAGAAUCAAAGAAGGAGAAAGAAAAGUCUUGACUGGGGAGGUCACGUGUUAUGGGGACACGUGUGUCCACCACCAGCCGGUCACCUCCGGAGCCAGCAGGCCAGCAGGAGAGAAGGACCCCGGGGGGUGGGGUGUGGCCUGGGGCCGUGUGCAGGGUGCUGCGAGCAGGAGAGCUGGCUCCGAGCGGGUUCUGUGGGUGUCCAAGCCCCAGGCUCAUCCUCAGCUGGGAGCAACCCCAGUCUUAGUGCUCCCAGGCAGGUGGCCCUGGGCUCCCAUCAGCUCCACCUACCCCAGGCCUGGGAAGGCAUCUGGCCAAGGAUGCAAACCCCUGGUGCCUAAUUAUUAUCCUUCUAAGGCACUGAGGGCUUCAGGCUCAAGAGCGCGUCCCUGUGGGGAAUCCUGCGCCCCAGGUGUGUGCGGCCCAGCUGCGCCCCGGGCACGCAGGCUCCCAUCCUCACACCUUCCCGCCCCGUUUCCAGGGCACACGGCCACUGCCCCUCGGGCUCCUGCUGGGGAACCUGCACGGUGACUCCCGGCGGCCAGUCCCGGAUGAGCCUGCUGUGCCUCCCACAUCCGCGUCCAGCCGCCCCCGGAUGAUUGCUCAGCCACCUCCAGCUCAGGGGCGCCAGCUCAGCCCCCUACCUCCCCUACCUCCUGCUCGGUGGUUCCUUUCCUGCAUCCCAUGCUUGGCAAAGCGCGUGCCCACCUGCUCUAGCCACUGAGCCGCCCACCUGAGCCAGCCCACCUGAGCUGCCCACCUGGCUCUAGCCACUGAACUGCCCACCU
rnacentral:lncRNA from 1 species